rnacentral:rRNA from 1 species
AUUGAACGCUGGCGGCAGGCCUAACACAUGCAAGUCGAGCGAGCGGCGGACGGGUGAGUAAUGUAUGGGGACUUCCCGAUAGAGGGGGAUAACUACUGGAAACGGUGUCUAAUAACGCAUACUGUGGGAUAACCCAUAUGGGAUUAGCUAGUAGGUAAGGUAAUGGCUUACCUAGGCGACGAUCCCUAGCUGGUCUGAGAGGAUGAUCAGCCACACUGGGACUGAGACACGGCCCAGACUCCGACGGAGGCAGCAGUGGAGAAUAUUGCACAAUCGGCGCAAGCCUGAUGCAGCCAUGCCGCGUGUAUGAAGAAGGCCCUAGGGUUGUAAAGUACUUUCAGUCGGGAGGCGUUACCGACAGAAGAAGCACCGGCUAACUCCGUGCCAGCAGCCGCGGUAAUAC